UCACCUUCUGUUUGUUGAAGACACUGUCCAGCGGAGCGACCUCGCAGUCUUUGUGAGCUCCGAACACCUUACAGAGAGAACAGGUUUCUCUGCAGUCCGUAGACGCCGUGGCGAUCCAGAACCACCUCAUGGCGGCAGGACGGGCAGCGGAAACGACCACCGGACGUCACUGUGGAGCCGCUCCUGGUCGUCAGGUGAAAUCCUCAAAGUGCCUCAAAUAGUUAAAUGACAACUGCCAAUGAAGACCAUGUGAUAUGGCUGAAAGCACCAGAACAAGCGGGUGCUUGUCUCUGAGCGUCUACCUGUUCAGGUGCUUGUCUCUGAGCGUCUACCUGUUCAGGUGCUUGUGGUCGGACUGGGACAGCGACAGCCUCCAUCAAACAUUCAG